rnacentral:rRNA from 1 species
UACGAAGGGGGCUAGCGUUGUUCGGAAUCACUGGGCGUAAAGCGCACGUAGGCGGAUCUUUAAGUCAGGGGUGAAAUCCCGAGGCUCAACCUCGGAACUGCCUUUGAUACUGGGGAUCUCGAGUCCGGGAGAGGUGAGUGGAAUUGCGAGUGUAGAGGUGAAAUUCGUAGAUAUUCGCAAGAACACCAGUGGCGAAGGCGGCUCACUGGCCCGGUACUGACGCUGAGGUGCGAAAGCGUGGGGAGCAAAGCA